UACGAAGGGGGCUAGCGUUGCUCGGAAUCACUGGGCGUAAAGGGUGCGUAGGCGGGUUUCUAAGUCAGAGGUGAAAGCCUGGAGCUCAACUCCAGAACUGCCUUUGAUACUGGAAGUCUUGAGUAUGGCAGAGGUGAGUGGAACUGCGAGUGUAGAGGUGAAAUUCGUAGGAUAUUCGCAAGAACACCAGUGGCGAAGGCGGCUCACUGGGCCAUUACUGACGCUGAGGCACGAAAGCGUGGGGAGCAAACAGG
rnacentral:rRNA from 1 species